UGGGGAAUAUUGGACAAUGGGCGAAAGCCUGAUCCAGCCAUGCCGCGUGUGUGAAGAGGGUCUUCGGAUUGUAAAGCACUUUAAGCUGGGAGGAAGGGCAGUAAGCUAAUACCUUGCUGUUUUGACGUUACCGACAGAAUAAGCACCGGCUAACUCUGUG
rnacentral:rRNA from 1 species